AUUGAACGCUGGCGGCAGGCUUAACACAUGCAAGUCGAGCGGGGUGAUGGUGCUUGCACUAUCACUUAGCGGCGGACGGGUGAGUAAUGCUUAGGAAUCUGCCUAUUAGUGGGGGACAACAUCUCGAAAGGGGUGCUAAUACCGCAUACGUCCUACGGGAGAAAGCAGGGGAUCACUUGUGACCUUGCGCUAAUAGAUGAGCCUAAGUCGGAUUAGCUAGUUGGUGGGGUAAAGGCCUACCAAGGCGACGAUCUGUAGCGGGUCUGAGAGGAUGAUCCGCAACACUGGGACUGAGACACGGCCCAGACUCCUACGGGAGGCAGCAGUGGGGAAUAUUGGACAAUGGGGGGAACCCUGAUCCAGCCAUGCCGCGUGUGUGAAGAAGGCCUUAUGGUUGUAAAGCACUUUAAGCGAGGAGGAGGCUCUUUUGGUUAAUACCCAAGAUGAGUGGACGUUACUCGCAGAAUAAGCACCGGCUAACUCUGUGCCAGCAGCCGCCGUAA
rnacentral:rRNA from 1 species